rnacentral:tmRNA from 1 species
GGGGCUGAUUCUGGAUUCGACGGGAUUUGCGAAACCCAAGGUGCAUGCCGAGGGGCGGUUGGCCUCGUAAAAAGCCGCAAAAAAUAGUCGCAAACGACGAAAACUACGCUUUAGCAGCUUAAUAACCUGCUUAGAGCCCUCUCUCUCUAGCCUCCGCUCUUAGGACGGGGAUCAAGAGAGGUCAAACCCAAAAGAGAUCGCGUGGAAGCCCUGCCUGGGGUUGAAGCGUUAAAACUUAAUCAGGCUAGUUUGUUAGUGGCGUGUCCGUCCGCAGCUGGCAAGCGAAUGUAAAGACUGACUAAGCAUGUAGUACCGAGGAUGUAGGAAUUUCGGACGCGGGUUCAACUCCCGCCAGCUCCACCA